AUUGAACGCUGGCGGCAUGCUUUACACAUGCAAGUCGAACGGCAGCACGGGUGCUUGCACCUGGUGGCGAGUGGCGAACGGGUGAGUAAUGCAUCGGAACGUGCCCAUGAGUGGGGGAGUAGCCCGGCGAAAGCCGGAUUAAUACCGCAUACGCCCUUAGGGGGAAAGGCGGGGGAGUCUUCGGACCUCGCGCUAUUGGAGCGGCCGAUGUCGGAUUAGCUAGUAGGUGAGGUAAAGGCUCACCUAGGCGACGAUCCGUAGCUGGUCUGAGAGGAUGAUCAGCCACACUGGGACUGAGACACGGCCCAGACUCCUACGGGAGGCAGCAGUGGGGAAUUUUGGACAAUGGGCGCAAGCCUGAUCCAGCCAUGCCGCGUGAGUGAAGAAGGCC
rnacentral:rRNA from 1 species